AGUGAACGCUGGCGGUAUGCCUAACACAUGCAAGUCGAACGGCAGCACAGUAAGAGCUUGCCCUUACGGGUGGCGAGUGGCGGACGGGUGAGGCAUACAUCGGAAUCUACUUUUUCUUGGGUGACAACGUAGGGAAACUUACGCUAAUACCUCAUACGACCUACGGGUGAAAUCAGGGGAUCUUCGGACCUUGCGCGAUUGAUUGAGCCGAUGUCGGAUUAGCUAGUUGGCGGGGUAAAGGCCCACCAAGGCGACGAUCCGUAGCUGGUCUGAGAGGAUGAUCAGCCACACUGGAACUGAGACACGGUCCAGACUCCUACGGGAGGCAGCAGUGGGGAAUAUUGGACAAUGGGCGCAAGCCUGAUCCAGCCAUGCCGCGUGGGUGAAGAAGGCCUUCGGGUUGUAAAGCCCUUUUGUUGGGAAAGAAAAGCAGCAGGUUAAUACCCCGCUGUUCUGACGGUACCCAAAGAAUAAGCACCGGCUAACUUCGUG
rnacentral:rRNA from 1 species